AGGGAGGGACCGCAGCUUUAUUGUCUAGAUGUGACCUGAGGGAUGUCUCUUUCACAGUACCCCAACCCAACCUUUCACUUGGCUCCUGAAGAGAAGCAGGGCUGACUCAAAAGGGUAGGGUCCUAGAGAUGACAUUGACAGAGGGAACACAUGAGGAGAUGAUGGGGUUACUGGAGGAAGAACCCUUUGGUAGGUGCUGCUGGAAUUGGCCAGGGAGGAGGUGCCCUCCCUUUACAAUGAGGUAGGUGUAACAUCAAAAGAAACUUUGGUUUUAAGUCCACAUGGCAUGGGAGGUGUCGUCCCCUCCCAGGGCUGGGUCCCAGAGUGGGCAGCCAGAAAGAAUCAAAGCAGGGGGUCUCCUCCCCCCUCAGCAAUGGGGCUGGGACUCUUAGUUUCAAGUAGGACCUCUCAGGGCAAGAUGCUGGCGGCGGGCAAAGAGGACACCUGGCAAAGGGGUGAGGAGAUGGUAGAGGGCAAAAACAAGCAGGAGGGGGUAGGGUAUGGAAACAGAAGAGGGGAACAAAAGUAAGUGUUCUGGUUGCUAGAACACUACACACGUACCCCUGCCACAAACCAAUGAGGACAAGCUCCUUGGGUCAGUAAGAGACUCCAUUGCUAAUGUAGAUACCUCAAACAGGUAAACAAGGAAUAUUUAUGCUGAUACAUAGGCCCAAGACAAGGCAGACAUCCCCUGGUACUCAUGCCAGAGAGGUCAUGCCUUGGAUCCCAUGCCAUCCUAAAUACCCCUGACCCCAUGCCAGUGUAGACAGCCUGCAGUACCCAUACCAGUGUAGACCACCCCGUUGAUCUCUAGGGCCAUGUUGAUACUGCUGAUGCCACUGCCUGCCAGAUUAAGAGGCCCAUCCAGCCGCUCUUCUGUCCAGGAGGGGGCAGAGGAAUCACAUUUUGGAGAAUCAGACUUCUGACUUAUUAAUAGAAUUUCCCCCCUCCAUCCCCGUAGACAGCCCCCAUUCCACUUCAGCCCCACACCUAUACUCACACAGUUGUCUACAGAGGAAUCUGUCUGCCCCGUCUCUAACACCUAUCAGGUGAUGGGUCAAUCCUCCCUCAGUGUACAGUCCCGAAGCCCCCUCACAACAAGCCCCUCCUCACCCCUCAGGGGAACCUUGCCACGGGGCAGGAAACUGGGGGGC
rnacentral:lncRNA from 1 species